UACAUUGAUAUGGAUCUUUUCCUGCAUUUUGCAUUUUAUAUAUUUAUCUUUAUAAAUUCAGCAUCAAUAGGAUUAAAUCAAGAGGUGUGCGACAGUAACACUGGACCUGUAUGCUGCGAUGGAUAUAAUCGGGAUCAAAUCACUGGAAAAUGCAUUCGUUGCAAACCUGGAUACUUUGAUCUGAAUUGUGGUAAAAAAUGCGAGUACCCUACAUAUGGAGAACAGUGCCAGAAAAUAUGCACAUGUCCCAG